AACGCGAAGAACCUUACCAACCCUUGACAUGGGCGUCGCGGAUCCAGAGAUGGGUCUUUCAGUUCGGCUGGACGCCACACAGGUGCUGCAUGGCUGUCAUCAGCUCGUGUCGUGAGAUGUUCGGUUAAGUCCGGCAACGAGCGCAACCCACACUCUUAGUUGCCAGCAUUCAGUUGGGCACUCUAGGAGAACUGCCGGUGAUAAGCCGGAGGAAGGUGUGGAUGACGUCAAGUCCUCAUGGCCCUUACGGAUUGGGCUACACACGUGCUACAAUGGUGGUGACAAUGGGAUAAUCCCCAAAAGCCAUCUCAGUUCGGAUUGGGGUCUGCAACUCGACCCCAUGAAGUCGGAAUCGCUAGUAAUCGCGUAACAGCAUGACGCGGUGAAUACGUUCCCGGGUCUUGUACACACCG
rnacentral:rRNA from 1 species